UUUCUCUCUCUCUCUUUCUUUGUGUGUGUGUACGCGUGUGUGUGUGUUCUCAAAGAGCAUAUCUCGCCUUACAUCAUGCUGCUGCUCACAUUGAGGAUGACACCCUUCCUGUAAACUUUUGACCUAACAAGUCAUUUCAGACCAAGACAUUGUGGAAACUUGUUUUUAGCCUUCAGUUGUAAGCAUUCAACUUUUUUUUCCCCCCGCUUUUCAUCAUAUGCCCGUGAGGAGUCUUUGCCAUUUUCUCAGAAUAAUUUUCCCUGCAGAUAAAAUAAACAAGAAAAAAUUGUGUUUAGAUCCUAAUUAUUAUUUUACACAAUCCAGCUUCUCUGUUUACCAUCGUACGUUCAACAGAUCCUUGAUCAGUUCCUAGUUCCUUUGCCUCAUCUACACAUUUUGUCAUGUUACAGCCACAAACUUGUAUUAUGUAUGAAAUUAUUUAUUUUUUGGAAUGUUGUGUGAUGGAGCAGUACAAAGUAGUGUGUCAUUGUAAAGUGGAAUGAAAAUCUUCUUUUCCUUUCAGCCUUUCCCCUUAGGGGUCGCCACAGCGAGUCAUCUGUCUACAUGUAACCAUGUCUUGUGCAUCUUCUCCUCUUACCCCAACUACCUUCCUGUUCUCUUUCACCCCAUCCAUAAAUCUGCUCUCUGGUCUUCCUCUCUGUCGGUUCCAUCCUCAGCAUCCUUCACUGAUGUAUUUCCUCUGUACAUGUCCAAACCAUCUCAGUCUAAAUGUAUCCAUUUUUGUCACUCCCAAAGAGAACUUCUUGUCAUAAAACUAUACUGCCACUCACAGAUGCCCAUUUCUAACCUCUAACCUUAACAACUCUUUCCCAUAACGUCAUUGAUUGACUCAUCAACUUUCUACCUCUGUAGACUUCUCCCUUGUUCUUGAAAAUUGGCACCAGCACAAUUCUCCUCCAUUCUUCAGGCCUCUUCUCUCUCUCUCACUGAACACUAGUCAAAAACUCACUGCUGUCUCUCCUUCCACUCCUCCACAGGUAUAUCAUCUGUACCAACUGCCUUUCUACUCUUCAUCCUUUUCCAUGUCUCUCUUGCUUCAGCCUUACUAAUCUUUACCUCCUGAUCUACAGAAGCCACUUCUUCUCCUUUUGGUUCUCUCAUUUUCUUCAUUUAUCAACUUUUUAAAGUACUCCAUCCAUCUUCCUUUAACACUUUUUGAAUGUGUCAGACCAAUUUCAUCUUGAUUCUUAAUCCUCUUUACCUGUUGGACAUCCUUCCCGUCUCCAUCUCUUGCCUUGCCAACCGAUAUAAAUCAUCCUUCCUUACUGUCCACCCUGUCAGAGUCGGUGUUUGCUUCCUCUACCUUCAUUUUAUGCUGUAUGUCCCUUUAUACUCCUGGUGACUCUCUUCAGUCCUCACAUCGUCCCACUUCUUCUUAGUUGCUCUCUUUCUCUGUAUUCACACUUCCACUCUUCUGGUUCUGGUUCUGCUCUGCUUCCCCAGAACCAGAACCAAAUGAAGAGAAGCAUCAUUCUAUCCGGCUUCUGUCCACCACAAAUCUGGAACAAACUUCCAGAAAACUGCAAGUUGCUUUUGAUAAUUACUUGUAGGAUACUGCAUGAUGAUGUAAGUCACUUUGAACUCGCUUGCAGCUGAAAUUUGAAACACAAAUGAACUCGACUUAAGAGAUGAAGGAAGGCAAGAACGGUUUUCUUUUAGAACAUGCUCCUGCAUUAUUACACCAUUGCCAUUAUUCCACUUGAAAAUGAUCUCAAAGUUUAUCGAUUAUCACAAUAACUUCUGGGACAGUUUA